rnacentral:rRNA from 1 species
UGGGGUCUCAUCCUCUCCACCCAUUGUUUACCGACCACGUUGCCUCGACGGACCAGCAGCUCCGGCUGCCUCUGGCUCAACCCCUCACCGGGGGAGCGGCCUUUGAGCGUCCGUCGAUGGGACCAUCCAAAACUCCUUUUGAAAAUCAGACGUCUGAAUCAAAUAUUUAAUACUUCAAAACUUUCAACAACGGAUCUCUUGGUUUUGGCAUCGAUGAAGAACGCAGCGAAAUGCGAUAAGUAAUGUGAAUUGCAGAAUUCAGUGAAUCAUCGAAUCUUUGAACGCACAUUGCGCCCUCUGGUAUUCCGGAGGGCAUGCCUGUUCGAGCGUCAUGUAAAGAAAAAUCAAGCACUUUGCUUGGCCUUGGGCCCCUCGCCCCCGUCACAGGGGGCGGGCCCUAAAUGCGUCGGCGGUGGUCGAAGGCCUCGAGCGUAGUAGAUUAUUCCGUCUACGAGCGCCGGCGACCGCCCGCUUCCAGACAACCAAAUUUUUACCUAGACAUUGACCUCGGAUCAGGUAGGGAUACCCGCUGAACUUAAGCAUAUCAAUAAGCGGAG